rnacentral:rRNA from 1 species
GCCGCACCGCCGGCCGACCCUAAUCUUCUGUAAAGGGUUUGAGUUGGAGCACGCCUGUCGAGACCCGAACGAUGGUUAACUAAGCCUGAGCGAGGCGAAGCCAAAGGAAACUCUGGUGGAGGCUCGAAGCGAUACUGACGUGCAAAUCAUUUGUCUGACUUGGGUAUAGGGCCGAAAGACUAAUCGAACCAUCUAGUAG